GUCACGUGUCCAGAGGAAACCGGAAGUGGCGGACUCAUCAAAACAAACCAUCUGUGAUGUGAGCUGGUUGUUGUUUCCUCCAGAGACACACUGAGAGCUCAUUAUUCUCAUUAUUCUCAUCAUGAUGAUGGUUCUAAACAUGGCAUCUGUCUGUCAUAGUGUAAUGUAGAGUGAUCUAGAGGUUCCUCAGAGCUACCGUUAGCUUAGCUGAGCUAGCUGCUAGCUGCUAGCUGCUAGCUGCUGUGUGUCUCCAUGUCGUCCUCCGCGGGGCUCCCACCGCUCGGCCCGGACCGUGCUGCCUCCUCCUCCUCCAGCAGGCCGCCUCUCCGCCCCCCUCAGCCCCAGCCGGCUCCCUGCAGCCCGGGCUGUGUGAUGGUGGAGUCGGUGGACGACGCGGAGGGUCUGUACGUGGCGGUGGAGCGGUGCCCGCUGUGCAGCACCUCCCGCCGCAGGCUCACCUGCGCCCGCUGCGUCCAGGCCGGAGACUUCGUGUCCUUCGACGGGAGGAACAGCGAGAGAUACGUUGAUAAGUUGGAGCGACUGAAGAAGCUGAAGGAAGAAAAGGAGCUGCUGCAACAGAGAGUCAUCCAGGACAUGGACCAGAAGCUGCAGGCUGAUGAGAUGAAAUGGAAGAUCAUGUCGUGUAAGAUGAAGAUCGAGCAGCUGAAGGAGGCGGUCGCCGGGGGCAACGAGGAGGUGAAGAGCGAUAAGGAGCUCCUCCUGCGCUCUCAGGAGGAGAGCCAGCGGCUGCAGCGCCGGGCCGGACGCCAUCAGGAGAAACGGGACAAGAUUGAGCGCCACAACCGGCGUCUGGGUGAGCUGCUGGAGAGACGCAGCCGGGAGCUGCAGAGCCGCCUGGCUCAGCUGGCGGCUCUGAGGCGGGAACACAUCCUGGAGCUCACCACCCACAUCUUUCUCACGCAGGAGGAGAAGCAGGGCAGCAGAGACCCCGCAGACGUGGUGGCGGAGUGCGAUCCCGCGUUGACCUCCAGCACGGUGAGCGAGCUGGCCGAGGCCCGGAGGACCACCUACCUGUCAGGACGCUGGAUCUGGGACGACCAGAACGGAGAGACCAGCAUCAGCAUCACGGGACCCCCCGUCACGCUGCCUAGCAACGGAGACUGCUCCGCCUACUACAGCUGGGUGGAGGAGAAGAGCACCAAUCAGGGCCCAGAGUUGGACCACAUCAACCCGGCCCACACCAUCGCCGCCGCUCUCUGCUACGCCACGCAGCUCGUCACCAUCCUGUCUCACAUCCUGGACGUCAACCUGCCCAAGAAGCUCUGCAACAGUGAGUUCUGUGGAGAGAACCUGAGCCGCUACCGCUUCACCAGAGCUCUGAGCAAACUCAACACCAACAUCCUCCACCUCUGCUUCUCACAGCAUGUGGACAGUGAGAAGCUGCAUCCUCAUCACACUCUGAGGAACAUCAUGUUCCUGGUUGCCCCCGACAACAACAACCUGGGCAGGACGGGUCCGUUCGAGGUGAGCGCUGACCUGGAGGAGUCCAUGGAGUUCGUGGAGCCGGAGGCGGCCGGGCCGGCGGAGGAGAGCGGAGACGAGGCGGUGACCGACGAGGAGACGGACCUGGGGGGGGACUGGGAGACGGUACCAAGUCCUCGAUUCUGUGACAUCCCAUCACAGUCCAUGGAUCUUUCCCAGAGUGCAUUGCAGGUGUCCCAGCCCUCCGCUAACGCUGGAGGGAUGAUCUCGUCUGCUGCUGCCUCCGUCACCUCCUGGUUCAGAGCGUACACCGGCCAGCGCUGAUCCAACCGGUCUGAACCGGGUCUGGACUCCCGGAGGUCUCUCAGACCCUGGACUGGACCGGGGUCAGAGGUCAGAGGUUAAAGGUCAGGCUGACAGGUCAGAGGUCAGCAACUGGAUGACCUUGUUUUCUAUGUAAUUCUGUUCACCAGCAUCUUGUGGAGACACUAAAGAGUCGACUGAAGUGAAAUGCUCAGCUCCAUUUCAGUGUGUCAUAAACCAGUUAUUACAUGUGUGUAUCGUGGUUAUUAAUGCUGAAUAGAGACGUUACCUGUUAGGAACCUGUCCACCUGCCGGCCCGGCUGCCUGCUCACAACAAAGGGAACGGUUCUGCUUUUAUUUUUAUCUUUUAAUUCCUUUUUUUUGUUUGAGCCGACAAACUGAACUGAUGACGGAUCCAUGUUCACAUUCAUGAGACGCCGUUCACACUGGACAACCAAUCAGAAACCAGACUGACUCUGGUUCCACAUAGAGCAUCACGAGGAUCUGGACGUGAGAGGAGAAAAUAAACAAAUGUAAAACACCAGAUAUGAUGAUGGCAUGUGUCCGCUGUGAUGAUGGGAUGAAUCCGGUGUGAUGAUGGCAUGUGUCCGGUGUGAUGACGGGAUGAAUCCGGUGUGAUGAUGGCAUGUGUCCGCUGUGAUGAUUGGAUGAAUCCGGUGUGAUGACGGGAUGAAUCUGUUGUGAUGAUGGCAUGUGUCCGGUGUGAUGAUGGCAUGUGUCCGGUGUGAUGACGGGAUGAAUCCGGUGUGAUGACAGGAUGUAUCCGGAUGUAUCCGGAUGUAACCGCAUGUAUCCGGUGUGAUGACAGGAUGUAUCCGGAUGUAACCGGAUGUAUCCAGUGUGAUGAUGGGAUGAAUCCGGUGUGAUGACGGGAUGUAUCCGGAUGUAACCGGAUGUAUCUGGUGUGAUGACAGGAUGUAUCCGGAUGUAUCCGGAUGUAUCCGGAUGUAACCGGAUGUAUCCGGUGUGAUGAUGGGAUGAAUCCGGUGUGAUGACAGGAUGUAUCCGGAUGUAACCGGAUGUAUCCGGUGUGAUGAUGGGAUGAAUCCGGUGUGAUGACGGGAUGUAUCCGGAUGUAACCGGAUGUAUCCGGUGUGAUGAUGGGAUGAAUCCGGUGUGAUGACGGGAUGUAUCCGGAUGUAACCGGAUGUAUCCGGUGUGAUGAUGGGAUGAAUCCGGUGUGAUGACAGGAUGUAUCCGGAUGUAACCGGAUGUAUCCGGUAGCAUUGAGACCAGAACUCGUUCUUCUUCCUGUUGAAGGAACAAAGUGUGUUUUAAAGUUUCUGUGUUAAAAAGAUUUAAAAUAAAAUCCUGUUUUCUGGUUUCGGACAA